GCGCAGCGAGAGGUGCUUGCACCUUUCAAGCGAGUGGCGAACGGGUGAGUAACACGUGGAUAACCUGCCUCAAGGCUGGGGAUAACAUUUGGAAACAGAUGCUAAUACCGAAUAAAACUUAGUAUCGCAUGAUAUCAAGUUAAAAGGCGCUACGGCGUCACCUAGAGAUGGAUCCGCGGUGCAUUAGUUAGUUGGUGGGGUAAAGGCUUACCAAGACAAUGAUGCAUAGCCGAGUUGAGAGACUGAUCGGCCACAUUGGGACUGAGACACGGCCCAAACUCCUACGGGAGGCUGCAGUAGGGAAUCUUCCACAAUGGGCGCAAGCCUGAUGGAGCAACGCCGCGUGUGUGAUGAAGGCUUUCGGGUCGUAAAGCACUGUUGUAUGGGAAGAAAUGCUAAAAUAGGGAAUGAUUUUAGUUUGACGGUACCAUACCAGAAAGGGACGGCUAAAUACGUGCCAGCAGCCGCGGUAAUACGUAUGUCCCGAGCGUUAUCCGGAUUUAUUGGGCGUAAAGCGAGCGCAGACGGUUGAUUAAGUCUGAUGUGAAAGCCCGGAGCUCAACUCCGGAAUGGCAUUGGAAACUGGUUAACUUGAGUGUUGUAGAGGUAAGUGGAACUCCAUGUGUAGCGGUGGAAUGCGUAGAUAUAUGGAAGAACACCAGUGGCGAAGGCGGCUUACUGGACAACAACUGACGUUGAGGCUCGAAAGUGUGGGUAGCAAACAGGAUUAGAUACCCUGGUAGUCCACACCGUAAACGAUGAAUACU
rnacentral:rRNA from 1 species